rnacentral:rRNA from 1 species
UACAGAGGGUGCAAGCGUUGUUCGGAAUCAUUGGGCGUAAAGGGCGCGUAGGCGGCCUUCCAAGUCCUGUGUGAAAUCCCUCGGCUCAACUGAGGAAUUGCACGGGAAACUGUUUGGCUUGAGUUCGGGAGAGGGAAGCGGAAUUCCGGGUGUAGCGGUGAAAUGCGUAGAUAUCCGGAGGAACACCGGUGGCGAAGGCGGCUUCCUGGACCGACACUGACGCUGAGGCGCGAAAGCUAGGGGAGCAAACGGG